ACGUGCCACGGGACGCAGCAGUGGGGAAUAUUGCACAAUGGGGGAAACCCUGAUGCAGCGACGCCGCGUGAGUGAAGAAGUAUUUCGGUAUGUAAAGCUCUAUCAGCAGGGAAGAAAAAAGACGGUACCUGACUAAGAAGCCCCGGCUAACUACGUGCCAGCAGCCGCGGUAAUACGUAGGGGGCAAGCGUUAUCCGGAUUUACUGGGUGUAAAGGGAGCGUAGAAGGCGCGGCAAGUGUGAAGUGAAAGGCAGGGGCUUAACGCCUGAAAUGGUUUGG
rnacentral:rRNA from 1 species